rnacentral:rRNA from 1 species
UACGUAGGAGGCGAGCGUUGUCCGGAUUCAUUGGGCGUAAAGGGUGCGUAGGCGGUGAGGCAAGUCUGGUGUGAAAUCCCGGGGCUCAACCCCGGAACUGCACUGGAUACUGCUUUACUAGAGUACUGGAGAGGGAACUGGAAUUUACGGUGUAGCAGUGAAAUGCGUAGAUAUCGUAAGGAAGACCAGCGGCGAAGGCGGCGACCUGGACAGAUACUGACACUCAACUACGAAAGCGUGGGGAGCAAACAGG